rnacentral:rRNA from 1 species
UGGGGAAUAUUGGACAAUGGGCGCAAGCCUGAUCCAGCAAUGCCGCGUGUGUGAAGAAGGCCUUCGGGUUGUAAAGCACUUUUAUCAGGAGCGAAACGCUGUCGGCUAAUACCCGGCGGAACUGACGGUACCUGAGGAAUAAGCACCGGCUAACUUCGUGCCAGCAGCCGCGGUAAUACGAAGGGUGCAAGCGUUAAUCGGAAUUACUGGGCGUAAAGCGUGCGUAGGCGGUUUCUUAAGUCUGCUGUGAAAUCCCCGGGCUCAACCUGGGAAUGGCAGUGGAUACUGGGAGGCUAGAGUGUGUCAGAGGGUGGUGGAAUUCCCGGUGUAGCGGUGAAAUGCGUAGAGAUCGGGAGGAACAUCAGUGGCGAAGGCGGCCACCUGGGACAACACUGACGCUGAGGCACGAAAGCGUGGGGAGCAAACAGGAUUAGAUACCCUGGUAGUCCACGCCCUAAACGAUGCGAACUGGAUGUUGGUCUCAACUCGGAGAUCAGUGUCGAAGCUAACGCGUUAAGUUCGCCGCCUGGGGAGUACGGUCGCAAGAUUGAAAACUCAAAGGAAUUGACGGGGGUCAUAGCU